rnacentral:rRNA from 1 species
AUUGAACGCUGGCGGAAUGCUUUACACAUGCAAGUCGAACGGUAGAGGGGGCAACCCCUCGAGAGUGGCGAACGGGUGAGUAGUAUAUCGGAACGUGCCCAGUCGUGGGGGAUAACGUAGCGAAAGUUACGCUAAUACCGCAUACGAUCUAAGGAUGAAAGCGGGGGAUCGCAAGACCUCGCGCGAGUGGAGCGGCCGAUAUCAGAUUAGGUAGUUGGUGGGGUAAAGGCUCACCAAGCCAACGAUCUGUAGCUGGUCUGAGAGGACGACCAGCCACACUGGAACUGAGACACGGUCCAGACUCCUACGGGAGGCAGCAGUGGGGAAUUUUGGACAAUGGACGCAAGUCUGAUCCAGCCAUUCCGCGUGCAGGAUGAAGGCCCUCGGGUUGUAAACUGCUUUUGUACGGAACGAAAAGGUCUCUCUUAAUACGGGGGACUCAUGACGGUACCGUAAGAAUAAGCACCGGCUAACUACGUGCCAGCAGCCGCGGUAA